UUAAGUUCAGCGGGUAUUCCUACCUGAUUUGAGGUCAAGAGUUCAAAAGUUGUCCGUAAAGGACGAUUAGAAGCUGAACAGACAGAGAGCAGUGGUCGUUUGUGGCGUAGAUAAUUAUCACACCGGCAACGUACCGCAAACGGUUCCGCUAAUGCAUUUCAGGGGAGCCGACCUCAGAAAGGCCCGCAAAAACCCCCAAC
rnacentral:misc_RNA from 1 species